rnacentral:rRNA from 1 species
GAUGAACGCUGGCGGCGUGCCUAAUACAUGCAAGUCGAGCGAACAGACGAGGCGCUUGCUCCUCUGACGUUAGCGGCGGACGGGUGAGUAACACGUGGAUAACCUACCUAUAAGACUGGGAUAACUUCGGGAAACCGGAGCUAACACCGGAUAAUAUAUUGAACCGCAUGGUUCAAUAGUGAAAGACGGUUUUGCUGUCACUUAUAGAUGGAUCUGCGCCGCAUUAGCUAGUUGGUAAGGUAACGGCUUACCAAGGCAACGAUGCGUAGCCGACCUGAGAGGGGGAUCGGCCACUCUGGAACUGAGACACGGUCCAGACACCUACGGGAGGCAGCAGUUGGGAAUCGUGCGCAAUGGGCGAAAGCCUGACGGAGCAACGCCGCGUGAGUGAUGAAGGUCUGCGGAUCGUAAAACUCUGUUAUUAGGGAAGAACAAAUGUGUAAGUAACUAUGCACGUCUUGACGGUACCUAUUCAGAAAGCCACGGCUAACUACGU